rnacentral:rRNA from 1 species
GACGAACGCUGGCGGCGUGCUUAACACAUGCAAGUCGAACGGAAAGGCCCUGCUUUUGUUGGGUGCUCGAGUGGCGAACGGGUGAGUAACACGUGAGUAACCUGCCCUUGACUUUGGGAUAACUUCAGUAAACUGGGGCUAAUACCUGAUAUGAGCUCCUGCUGCAUGGUGGGGGUUGGAAGGUUUCGGCGGUUGGUGAUGGACUCGCGGCUUAUCAGAUUGUUGGUGGGGUAGUGGCUUACCAAGGCUUUGACGGGUAGCCGGCCGGGAAGGGUGACCGGCCACACUGGGAAUGAGCUACGGCCAAGACUCCUACGGGAGGCAUGAGUGGGGAAUAUUGCACUAUGGGCGGAAGCCUGAUGCAGCAACGCCGCGUGCCGGAUGACGGCCUUCGGGUUGUAACCCGCUUUCGCCUGUGACGAAGCGUGAGUGACGGUAAUGGGUAAAGAAGCACCGGCUAACUACGUG